rnacentral:antisense_RNA from 1 species
CUUCAGCGAGCCGAGCCACAGCGGCUGGUCGGCGGGCCUGCCCUGGCCGUAUGUGGCCAGCAGGGCGUUCGCCUC